GAUGAACGCUAGCGGCAGGCCUAAUACAUGCAAGUCGAACGAGAUUAAGAGGCUUGCUUCUUAUGAAAGUGGCGCACGGGUGCGUAACGCGUAUGCAACCUACCUUAAUCAGGGGGAUAGCCCGAAGAAAUUCGGAUUAAGACCGCAUAAAAACACAGGAUAGCAUUAUCCAAUGUUCAAAUAUUUAUAGGAUUAAGAUGGGCAUGCGUGUCAUUAGCUAGUUGGCGGGGUAACGGCCUACCAAGGCAAUGACGACUCGGGGGUCUGAGAGUUUGACCAGCCAGACUGGGACUGGGACACGGCCCAGACUCCUACGGGAGGCAGCAGCAAGGAAUUUUCGGCAAUGGGCGCAAGCCUGACCGAGCAACGCCGCGUGCAGGAAGACGGCCUUCGGGUUGUAAACUGCUUUUGCUAGGGAUGAUAACAGACAGUACCUGGCGAAUCAGCCCCGGCUAACUCUGUG
rnacentral:rRNA from 1 species